UACAGAGGGUGCAAGCGUUAAUCGGAAUUACUGGGCGUAAAGCGUGCGCAGGCGGUGAUGUAAGACAGUUGUGAAAUCCCCGGGCUCAACCUGGGAACUGCAUCUGUGACUGCAUCGCUGGAGUGCGGCAGAGGGGGAUGGAAUUCCGCGUGUAGCAGUGAAAUGCGUAGAUAUGCGGAGGAACACCGAUGGCGAAGGCAAUCCCCUGGGCCUGCACUGACGCUCAUGCACGAAAGCGUGGGGAGCAAACAG
rnacentral:rRNA from 1 species